rnacentral:RNase_P_RNA from 1 species
GAAGCAGGCCAGACCGCCGCUGGUGCGAGCGUGGAAACACGGCACUGGAGGAAGGUCCGGACUGCACAGAGCGGCGUAGCAGUUAACGGCUGCCCAGCGCGAGCUGAGGAUCAGAGCAACAGAGACGAGUCUCUGCGGGGUUCCGUGAAGGGUGUUCUGUGAGGCGUCGGCGCAAGCCGGCGGCCCGCGCGGCCUGCCGCGCGGGCUCGGGCGCAAGCCCGAACCGAACAGCCACCCUCUGCGGGGCAAAGCCCCGCAGAGGGUGAAACGGGCAAUCUCUACGCGCAGCAACACCAAGUAGGCCGGCGUCGACGUGGCUCGCGGAGCCGGCGGGUAGGUGGCACCGAGCCGCAGGGCGACCUGCGGCCCAGAGGAAUGGCGGUCACGGCGGGGACGGCGCAAGCCGCACCCGCUGCACAGAAUCCGGCCUAUCGGCCUGCUUCACAC